GCGCUGCCGUUAUUGAAAUAAUAAUAAUAAUUAUAUUAUGCACGCGUCACUGCAGUUGCAGGUUAAAAUCAUUGUCUAAUAUACACACAUCGCUAUAUUAAUUAAUAUAUAAUAAUAAUUUAUAAUAUGCAAAUAGGCGUGCGCGGACAUUGACGGCAAAACGGCGGGCGGUCGGGUCGCGAGUUUUCAAUUUGUCGUGUUUUCCAAAGCAUAUUGUACACUAUAUG